rnacentral:tRNA from 1 species
GGUCGAUUAGCUCAGCUGGUUAGAGCGUGGUGCUAAUAGUUUGUACUUGUUAACGCCAAGGUCGUGGGUUCGAUCCCCACAUUGACCU